CGCUGGCGGCGUGCCUAAUACAUGCAAGUCGAACGGUCUUUCUAUGGAAGCUUGCUUCCACUGAGAAGAUAGUGGCGAACGGGUGAGUAACACGUGGGUAACCUGCCCAUAAGAGGGGGGAUAACAUCCGGAAACGGGUGCUAAUACCGCAUAGUUUUCUUGAUCGCAUGAUUGAGAAAGGAAAGACGGCCUUUGUGCUGUCGCUUAUGGAUGGACCCGCGGCGUAUUAGUUAGUUGGUGAGGUAACGGCUCACCAAGACGAUGAUACGUAGCCGACCUGAGAGGGUGAUCGGCCACAUUGGGACUGAGACACGGCCCAAACUCCUACGGGAGGCAGCAGUAGGGAAUCUUCCGCAAUGGACGAAAGUCUGACGGAGCAACGCCGCGUGAGUGAAAGAAGGUUUUCGGAUCGUAAAACUCUGUUGUCAGAGAAGAACAAGUCGGAGAGUAACUGCUCCGGCCUCGACGGUAUCUGACCAGAAAGCCACGGCUAACUACGUGCCAGCCGCCGC
rnacentral:rRNA from 1 species